CCAUGCACCUGGAGCCUGGAUACAGUGAUCACAGGCACCUCAGGAACAGCUCUCCAGCCCCAGGACUUCUGCCGGAACUGCUGGAAGUUAGAAGCUUUCUUCCUACUGAGGGGCAACCUUCUAGGUAUCUGAAGAUGUUGAAGACCAUUUCCUGGAACCACAGCGAGAGAUUGUGGAAUGGAAUGACUCUCUAGAGUUGCAGAUUGAAGGUGUAUUUUCAUCUGACUUCGGUGAUUGUGUGUCUAAUCUCUGUGGGAAUAAGGUGUGCUUGGGGUAGGGAUGGGCAGAGGUAGAACUCGCCGAACCGCCCAGUCACAUGGAGUUACAUCUUAUUUAAAACUCAGCCAUUGCCACCCGCCUCAGGGAAUCUCUGGCUUCAGUUUGAGUGUUCAGUGAAGCCUUACACAAGAAGGGCUCAAUCUCUAAAGUCUACAUCGAAGCUGAAUCCACCCAGCAUCAGAUUAUUCCUGAAAAGCCUCUUUAAAUCGAAACCUCCCAUAAAGAUGGUGAAGCUCUGUAUUGUGAUAUAGUUGGUAUGGGUGGCUUUUCCUUGAGCACUGCGACAGAUUUGUAAAACAGUUACACACACACACACACACACACACACACACAUCCCCCACAGAGCACCCUGUCUCUAAAGACAAGAAUGACAAGAGAAAAAUCUCAAAGAAAGGAAUCAACAGAGUUGCUCUGAGACUCACAUGGCUGGGCACAGACACACUGAGUGGGUGCACGGGCUGAGGUGUCUGGUUUUCCCCAUUGGACACCAUGGUGUCUACCACACUGGGAUGGACGCAUACACAGUGACUGUGGAAGCUAAAUGUAUACAGUCCUAAAGCAAGAUCAGUUGUGUGGAGGAGAGGAUAAUUGUAAACUUCUUUAUUUGUUGGCUGUUAAGUAUUUGAAUAAGAAUAUGAGAAUGCCCAACAUUUUAAGCAACCUGAUGUGUAAGAUGUCUUCUGGCUUGUCAAUAAGAAAGUCCAUGAUAACAAUGACUGUGGAAGCAAGGGCAAGAAUGAUAAAGGACUCAGCUUCCUGAGCACGUGUGAUGUGCCAGACGCGAAUAUGUGAACUUCCAGUAUGUGUAAUGUGCCAGAUGCGGAUAUGUGAGCUUCCUGAGCACGUGUGAUGUGCCAGACGCGAAUAUGUGAACUUCCAGUAUGUGUAAUGUGCCAGAUGCGGAUAUGUGAGCUUCCUGAGCACGUGUGAUGUGCCAGACGCGAAUAUGUGAACUUCCAGUAUGUGUAAUGUGCCAGAUGCGGAUAUGUGAGCUUCCUGAGCACGUGUGAUGUGCCAGACGUGGAUAUGUGAGCUUCCUGAGCAUGUGUGAUGUGCCAAAUGCAGAUAUGUGAAUUUCCUGAGCACGUGUGAUGUGCCAGACGCCGAUAUGUGAGCUUCCUGAGCACGUGUGACAUGCUAGACGCGGGUAUGCGGGCUUCCUGAGCACGUGUGACGUGCCAGACACGGAUAGUGAGCUUCCUGAGCACGUGUGACGUGCCAGACGCAGGCAAGAAAAAUGAGAUGCAGAGACAGGAAGCCACCCAUCCCACAGCGCACAGCGAGGGCGUGGUGAAGGCAGAAUUUACAGGUGGGCUUUCUGGUUCCAGGGCCUAUGCUUUUAAUAACUGCACUAAAACAAACAUCGUGAUGAUGGCACCGUUUGCAGGAAGCAUAUCCUGAUAAUAAAGACAACAAAGGGGGAAGUGGAGUAAGAAAUAAAAAUAAAAUUGUCAGACCCUCAACUCUGCUAAGAAACGUAUGUAAAUAGAAAGCUUUGGGAAGCCUGCUGCCACAUUUAUUGCAGCUUUUAUGGCCUGGAGAACGCUGCCUACUGUAUUAUUUUCUAUAUAAAUGAUGCUUCAUAGUUUGAGAGUUUUUCACCCUUUUGGAAAUAUAAUUAAAGCUGUGGAGCCUAUCCAGAGGAAGAAAACACGCACAACCACAACAUUUCAGAAAAAUAAAUUAAGAGAAAAUUGAUGCCGUAAUACAUAUCAGUGAACCGCUGGAAUCUCAGCCUCCAGGGGAAUUAUUUCUGCUCUACAACUAUUCAUGAUUUUUUCUUUCAGACCUCUAUGGUAGGAACACCUUCAUGGUCCCUUUAUAGCUGGUGUGUUUUCUUCUCAUGGCCAAUGAGAAGCAUGUAAUAAAUUGUUUCCUUUCUGCCAGGAAACUCUGAGUUAAAGCUUUACUUCCCUCUCAGGAACUAUCAAAGAGGCAUAAGCCCUACACCCUGGUCCAACAUUUCCCUUGGAUUUGAUUCCCUUUCGACCAUUUUAGCCCUAUUUUACAUGUGUUACAUCUAUUUCUCUGUGCUGUCACAUGUAUUAUCAAAUGCUAUUUCGGAUGUCAACCAUGAGCUAAAGUACAUCUUGGAAUUAUUAGAGAAACAGAGGGAUAUGAUUAUAUAAAGUAACACAUACAAAUGCAAUGCUGAUUUUUUUUCCUUAAGAAGUUUUUGACAAUUGCGUGGAAGGAAUCUGCUUUUCACUGAAGUUUCAAUGUUUUCAGAUCCUUUAAUACCAGCUGUGAAACUUACUUACUAGGAUGAAUUAUAGAAAGUUUUACCACUUUCCUCUGACUCAUUUAUUCUCGUUGUAAAUAUGAGAAUUAAAACUCUUCCCCAUUCUUGCUUUCUGAAGGAUUCUAUACAAACAGUUGAGGUCCUAUUUAGUAAACUACUAGAAACAUGGGGAAGUGAACUAAGGAGAUAUGAACUAUGAAAUGAUCUGUUUUAAGAAAAUAUAUGGGAAAAUCAGGUCUAUGUUUCUGACAAUCAAAUGUAUAAUAUAUACAUAUAUAUAUAAACAAAUGCAUAUACAUAUGCAUAUGUGUAUAUGUGUGGGGGUGUGUGGCUUUUCUCAUCACCUCUGUUAUCACACUCAUUCUAGUCCAUAUUAAAGAAUAUCAUUUCCUGUUCUCUCCACCAUGGCCCCCUGGUCCAAGCCACCAUCUGCGUGCACCUGAUGCCCGCAUAACCUCAGCUGACCUUUCCUAUGUCUAUUCUUGUUCCUUUUGAGCCCAGUCUCCUCACUCGCAGCAGCGGAGCGAGUCUAUUAAAAAGUGAAACAGAGAGAGGCAGCAAAAAGAACACAAAACAAACAAAUAAAAAAGUGAAACAAUGUCUGUCACUUGUUGGCUCAAAACUCUCCAAUAGUUUCCUGAUGGGUUAGAAGAAAAUGUAAGUUCUUGUCAUGGGGUACUAUGUAGGUUUAGGUUCAGCUGUAAGUCACAGGGGGGAAAAAUACACACACACACACACACAUACACACACAUAUGUACACACACACACACACACACAUGCCUUAAACAAAACACAAAUUGUUAUCUCUCUUGUGCUCACAAAGUCCAGAAGCCAUGAGCCAAGGCUGGGGGCAGCACAGCUGCAGUAGAGACCCAGGCUUCAUUUCUCUUUCUGUCCACUGUGCAGUUUGCAUUUCCAGGGAACACCUCAUGGUCCAAAAUAGCUGCUAUUGUGCCUGUUGUUACUAAUGGUUCAUUUUUCAGCCAUAACAUAGGGACAAAGAAAGGCAACUUCCUCCACUGAACUUCACUUCCUGGAAUGUAUAGGGACCACCCUCCUUUAACUAUUAAAUCGUAGAACCUAGCUGUGCCAGGUGGUGGGCGCCUGUAAUCCCAGCCACUUGGGAGGCUGAGGCAGGAGAACCCCUUGAGUCCAGAAGGUGGAGGUUGCAGGGAGCUGAGAUUGCACCACUGCACUUCAGCCUGGUUGACAGAGCAAGAGUCCAUCUUAAAUAAAUAAAUCUUAGAACCUGGUCACAGAGCCACACCCUGCUGUAGAAGAGGCCGGCAAAGGCAGUCCUUAUUCUGGAUGCUCAAGUGCCCAGGUAAACAUCAGGACUUUUGCUCUUGAGGAAGAGACGGGAGAGUGGAUGCCGGGGUCCAGCUCCAACCUGGGACAUGCAUGGCCUGCCUGGACCACAUGGUCAGGACUCUGCCCACCUCCCUGAUGCAUCCCCCACCCUUUCCCACCCUCACUCUGCUCCAGCCACAUGGCCGUCUCACCUCUGUUCUUCCUUUCACGCACCCAGCUAAUUCCAGCCUCUGGGCUUUUGUGCUAGCUGUUCCCUUGCCUGGACAGCUCCUCCCCAAGUAUUCUCUGGCCUCUUCCCUCACUUCACCCAAGUAUCUGCUCCGAAGUAAACCUCCUGGGGGAGAUUUCUCUGCUCACUUGGUCACCAGUAGUAGCCCCUGUCACUCUGUCUCCUCGCCCAGCUUUAUUCUGCACCCUGACACUGGAGAUCUGUUCUGCCAUUUCAAAAAGGAAAAAAAGACAAGAUAUCUGCUACCCACCCUCAUCUCUGCCUCACUGGACGCCUUGAAAGAAAAUGGCAGUAUUUAAAAAACAGUAUGGCUCCUGAGGGAAGCUGAAAACUCAAAGAGAGUGGAUAUCCCAGAAUUUCAAGCUGCAGAUGACUUUUGAAAAGCAAAAACUUAUUUUCUCGCCGAAAAUUGGCAGUAUAUCCUUCCUAGUGAUUUAGGCAGGAGGCAGCUGGAGAACACAUGUUUAGAAGGUCUGUGUGUUAGUGGGCUAAGGUAGAGCUCUCCGCGUUAGACCUGAGAAGACCCUGGACUGCAAGGUAAGUUUAACCAACAGGUGAUCUCGCUGCUGCGCUCAGAGCCCAACCUUGCGCACCCUUAGCUCAGGCGCGUGCGGGCAGCAGGCAAACGACAUUCUCCUAGAGCUCCGGCCCUCAGGUGCCCUGGAGCCCAGAACAGAGGCGCAGCCGCCUUCUCAGCCUUAGGUGAGACUUGGCUCGCUAUCCACGCAGCCACGCGUGGUGCCAGUAACCAGAAGGGCUCGUGGGUCGCUCUUCCGGACCUGGAAGCCUCCGCCUCUGCUACUCAUGUGGGUCGGCUUGAUUCUACCCGGGCCCCACGUGUGCAUGAUAAGAGCAGUGGUUAACAGCUGGUAAGUUUUUCAUGUACUUCAGGCGCUGUGUUCUGUGCCUAAGGCACCCACUAAAUUCCCUCUGAGACGGAGUAAUCCCCGCUGUAGAGAUGCGGGAGUGAGGUGAAAGGCCUUCUGGAGAGCCCAGUUCUGUUCUACACUCUUGUACCCACUCCCCAAACACCUCCCAACCCCUCCUAGCCAUCCUCAAACCACAUCGGACUGGAUCUCAGGUAUCUGUCGAGAGGAUCCCACAUUUCUGCCCACCUGGGGUGCCCUGCGAGCUUCUCUGUGAACACCUGCUCCCCCGUGGGCACAGCCUUGCUCUCAGGACCACUGGGUGGAAGGGAAACUGGCGCGGACCGCCCCUCCCUGGGAUCUCCCCAAUCUUUGUUUAACUGAACUGUAGUGAGGGAGGCAUGGAACCCCAUGGUUGGGAAAAAGAAGUGAAAAGAACCGGGCUUCCCAUUCUCACAGACCCGCCAAGUCCUGGGGAGGAGGAAAGCAACGGACAGGACCCCUCAGCCACCUCCCCUUGACGCCGCAUCUGCACGUGGUCCACGGAAGGUCCAGGUAGGAGAUACCGUCCGUGGAGCCUAGCGUGGUCCGCCUUUCCAGAGCCCCCGCCGAUCCCCGAAUAAACCCCACGUUCAGCGUGUCCCCUCACCCCGCACCCAGAGAGGCCGCGCCACAGACGCCCUCUCCGCCCGGCCUCACCUGU